GGUUGAUCCUGCCAGUAGUCAUAUGCUUGUCUCAAAGAUUAAGCCAUGCAUGUCUAAGUAUAAACAUCUUUAUACCGUGAAACUGCGUACAGCUCAUUAUAUCAGUUAGAAUUUAUUUGAUGGUACCUUUACUACAUGGAUAACCGUAGUAAUUCUAGAGCUAAUACAUGCGUAAAGUUCCAACUCAGCAAUGGGAAGGGAUGUAUUUAUUAGAUAAAAAAUCAAUGCAGGUAGCAAUAUCUGGUCUCCAUUGAUGAAUCAUAGUAACUGUUCGAAUCGCAUAGUCUUGUA
rnacentral:rRNA from 1 species